UACAGAGGGUGCAAGCGUUAAUCGGAAUUACUGGGCGUAAAGCGCGCGUAGGUGGUUCGUUAAGUUGGAUGUGAAAUCCCCGGGCUCAACCUGGGAACUGCAUCCAAAACUGGCGAGCUAGAGUAGGGCAGAGGGUGGUGGAAUUUCCUGUGUAGCGGUGAAAUGCGUAGAUAUAGGAAGGAACACCAGUGGCGAAGGCGACCACCUGGGCUCAUACUGACACUGAGGGGCGAAAGCGUGGGGAGCAAACAGG
rnacentral:rRNA from 1 species